rnacentral:piRNA from 1 species
UCGUAGUAUAGUAGAAAACCC